rnacentral:ncRNA from 1 species
UACUCUGGAGACAUCCAUUUGGAGGCCGAAGGUGCAAUGCGCAUGCAGAAUCUCUCAGGCAAAAGGACAGAGAAA